CCCCUGGGCUCAAGUCAUCCUCCCACUUUCACCUCCGAAAAUGCUAGGAUUUCAGGUGUGAGCCACCGUACUCAGUCCUACCUCUGGUUUUAAUAUCAAGAAAUACUAUCUUCAUAAAAUGAAUUGGAAAGUGUUCCCUCCUCUUCUAUUUUCUGAAAGAAAAUGUAGAGAGAUGGUGUGAAUUCCUCUUUAAACAUUUGGUAGAAUUCUUCAGUGAAACCAUCUGGAUCUGGAGACUUCUUUUUUGGGAGUUUUAAAAUUGCAAAUUCAAUUUCCUUAACAGUUGUAGGCAUAUUCAAAUUAUCUAGUUCACAUUGGGUGAGCUGUAGUCAUUUGUAUUUUUCAAGGAAUCGGUCCUUUUUAACCAAGUUGUCAAAAGAAUGUGUGUUCUCAGUAGCUUUAAAAAAUUCUCUUCCCUCCAUUAGUUUCUCUCACAUUGAAAUGAGAUGCUGAUUCCCCCACAGGCCUUCCCUCCCUCCAAAUCGACGACAAAACGCAUUAUUCUGUGCCCUAAGCAUUCUUGACAGGUAGAGUCCAGGAUGGGGCAGUGCCAAUGUAAACAUACAGUUUCGAGGAACCAACUGGCCUUGGACCUCUCUGAAGAGCCCUGGAACCAGAGGGGGCUGGCGGUCCUCGAGUCACCUAAGCCUCCCUGGAGAGACCUCCGAGGCAGAAGGGCCUCCUCAGUGAGCUCAUUACUCCUGUUUUCCUGGAAGUCUCUACAGUCAUGAGGGUUCCAGCCUUCUGAUGAAGCCAACGCUGAGUGUGGCAGAGAGGAGGGAUGGAAAGGGACAAGCUCCCUCAGGAUCUCAGCAAGCUGCUUGACCAUGCUGCUGGACUCUUCCUGCGUAGCUGAUGCAUAAUCAAAUAUAUAAGUAAAAAAUGAUAUUUCCUUUGAGAACCGCUUGGACAGUGACCUGAACAUCUCAAGAAAAACCUUGGUGGACUUGCAUGAACCUGAUUUGGGUCAAAAUUCAGCACCAUGCUGAAAAUCAUGCCCUUGUGAAAUGACAAAUUGAAUGUGUUCAGAAACUGCAUUUGAACCAGUUGAGAUCCUGAUCCAGCCAGAAGUGACUAAGAUGACAAUCUUCAGGACACAGAGAAGCUGCUCCUUGUGAUGAAAGCCACUCCUCAAUGAGCUUCGUGAAGGCUGGUGAUCCACAUGGUCCUACCCCGCCCCACCCAUGUGUCUCUGUGGCAAACAACUCACAAGUGCAACAGUGGCCUGGCCCACUGAAAACACACUGAGCUACAGGCCACUGCUAUUGGUAAGAAUGUACCCCUGUCAUUGAGUGACCCACGACUGUAUCCUUUCGUGUCUGGGAUGGGAAAGAAGGACUUCUUGUGGAAUGCUCACUCUUAAGACCCAGCUGCCAUGCAAAGCCCCAGUUAGCUGUGUGGAGAGGUCACGUGGAGAGAGCCUUCCAACCAUCCCCACCGUGGUGCCAGACAAACGAGCAAAGCUAUGCUGAAUGUUCCAGCCCCAGCUGCCACCUCACUGAAGCCAUACAAAAGACUUCGGAUGGAGCCUUCCUUACUGUGGAAAAAGAGGCCUCAUUGCCUAGAGUUGGUGUGAAUGACUGCAAAGGUGAGUGAAAUUUCAUAUCCUCCAAUUUCAUUCCAUGAUUUUCAUUCCAGAAAUGAUAGUUUGCAUUUGCAAAUGUGCUUUCAUGAACUUUUGGUCAUGAUAACUCAGAGACUGAGGUAGACAUGUCCAUUAUACAGACAAAAACACUGAGUCAAAGAGGGCUGAUUAAUGGUGGAGGUUGGGCUUGAAUUUACAUCUUCACACUUGACUCUAGUAAACUUCUUUCUUCAUAUUAUUUGUUGCUAGCAUCAGAUCUUUAUUGUCUCUUGUAAUCUAUGGGCAGGAGCAGAUUCUGUAAAGAAUAUCUGUUCUUUCCUAUCCACGAAAUGACCUCCCAAAUAUAUUCCCGUCCUAAUCCAUGGAACCUGUGAUUAUGUUACCUUGAAUGGCAGAAGAGACUUUGCAGAUGUGACCCAAUUAAGGAUUUUGAGAUGGAGAGAUUAUCCUGGAUUAUCUGGGUAGACCUGAUGUAAUUACAAGUAUCCUUGUAAAAGGGAAGCAGGAGGGAGGGUGGAGGGGGGAAAGAGAGAGAGGGGAAGAGAGGAAAAGAAGAGGAGAAGAGAAGAAGAGAGAGAGGAAGAGAGAGGCUAUAUGAUGGCUUUGAAGAUGGAGGAUGGGGCCAUGAGCCAAGUGAUGCAAGUGACGGACCUCCAGAAGCUAGAAAAAGACUAGGAAACAGACCUUUUCCCCACAGCCUCUGGAGGGGAAGCAGCCUUGCUGACACCCUGAUUUUAGCCCACUGAGACUGGUUUUGUACUUUGGAACUCCAGAACUGUAAAAUGAUACAUUUGUGUUGUUUGAAGUCACUAAGUUUGUGGUAAUUUGUUACAGCAGCAAUAGCAAACUAAUACAUGCAGUAUCCUCUCUUAUUAACUGUAAUAGAAUUCAUCUCAUCCUCUCCAGGUAGUUGCCUCUUGGAGAAACCGCCUGGCUCCAUUCUUGGUCUGGUGAUGUGAGUGGGGCUGACCCCACUCAUGGCUUCAGGGCAGAACAUAGCCUCCAGGCCUGGGCAUCAAGCAUGCUGCGUUCUCUGGUCACAGUGGCUGGUCAGGGGUGAGCAAGGCCCUUCAGAAGGCAGCUCUAGACUCUUGCUGGAGGGGUGAGCAAGGCCCUUCAGAAGGCAACUCUAGACUCUUGCUGGAGCUAUUAGGAAGGGGGUAUGUCCUUUCUACAGUGGAUACUGAGCUGAAGGGAAGCCUGGAGCAGGUGGGCAGCCACUUGAGAAUGAAGACAACACAAAAGAAAGCUGAGCCAAGGACUGGAAAGAGAGGUAUUCUCCUUAAGACACAGCUAGAAACCUGAAUCAGGUCAUGUCUAAAGAGAGCUUAAAGAUCCCAAUGACAGGAGCCAAUCAAGUCUUUUUGUUUAAGCUAGUUGGAGUUGAAGUUCUGAACCCAGAUAUUUCUGACUAAUAGUGUUAGGUUAGAAGUCACCUAAAUUGGAUUAUCUGAUGAUUGAUUUUGUGGAAGUUCAACACUAUGGAGCACCAUCCAGUACCACCCAAAAGAAGGCAUGCUAGUACCCAAAUGCCAUUGAUCUUACAAUGAAAACCGGGGAGAAAAUUUGAGUCCCUUUCCCCCAGAGGAUGUUCCUGCCGAGAGUUACUACUUCAGUUCUUUUUACUUAACAAAUCCUAACCCUUCUACAUCAGUAUAUUGCUUCCUCGGGUUUCAUCUCAUGCAGCUAUGGAGAACCAAGGAAAGGGAGUGACUGGCUGCAAGACCCAUGUCAGCUGGUGGCCAGGCUGGGAUAAGGACUCUGACCCUAAGCACUGUGUGCUUUCUGAAGCAUGCUGCUUCGAGCUUUCUUGUGAGCAUAGUCACUCCUGUUUCUGUGGCUCUGAAAAUUCACCACCUGCUGUGUGCAAUUAGUUCUUGUUGCUCUCACCUUGCCGAUCAGCAUUCUCAAUUUCAUUUUCGGAGCCUAGCUUUAUCACUAUCAUAAAGAGAUUAUCUAACAUCUUGAAUAUUAAAAAUCUGACUCCACAGAGUAAGAUUUGCAUUCCAAGGUUAUUGUUGUUUACCAGCACUCAUCACUUGACCUGCUGUUUUUUGAGACACGUCACUCUGAAGGGCAAGAGAGAGCUCCCCACAGCCCACCUAUGGAGAUCACAUUUUAAAGACUCUUCAUUUGAGUUCCUAAUACUGAUGGCAUUGAUCUGUCACAUCUCCAUGAACCAAGCUCAACUGACAAUUCUAGAAUCAACCAGAACAGGAAGGGAUGUUAAAGGUUACUUGGUCCAAUCCUUGCAUUUUCCAGUUCGAAAAGUGAGACUUGGAAAUUCAAGUAUGUAUCAGUCAGAGUUCUUGCUUAGAGGCAAGUACUCUGCUAACUUAAGAGUAUGAAUGUUUUCAAACACCGCAUGUUCUCACUCAUAGGUGGGAACUGAACAAUGAGAUUA